GAUGAACGCUGGCGGCGUGCCUAAUACAUGCAAGUCGAGCGAACAGACGAGGAGCUUGCUCCUCUGACGUUAGCGGCGGACGGGUGAGUAACACGUGGAUAACCUACCUAUAAGACUGGGAUAACUUCGGGAAACCGGAGCUAAUACCGGAUAAUAUAUUGAACCGCAUGGUUCAAUAGUGAAAGACGGUUUUGCUGUCACUUAUAGAGGGAUCCGCGCCGCAUUAGCUAGUUGGUAAGGUAACGGCUUACCAAGGCAACGAUGCGUAGCCGACCUGAGAGGGUGGUCGGCCACACUGGAGCUGAGACACGGUCCAGACUCCUACGGGAGGCAGCAGUAGGGAAUCUUACGCAAUGGGCGAAAGCCUGACGGAGCAACGCCGCGUGAGUGAUGAAGGUCUUCGGAUCGUAAAACUCUGUUAUUAGGGAAGAACAAAUGUGUAAGUAACUAUGCACGUCUUGACGGUACCUAAUCAGAAAGCCACGGCUAACUACGUG
rnacentral:rRNA from 1 species